UACGUAGGGACCGAGCGUUGUUCGGAAUUACUGGGCGUAAAGGGCGCGUAGGCGGCCUUCUAAGUCGAACGUGAAAUCCCCGGGCUCAACCCGGGAACUGCGUCCGAUACUGGGAGGCUUGAAUCCGGGAGAGGGAUGUGGAAUUCCAGGUGUAGCGGUGAAAUGCGUAGAUAUCUGGAGGAACACCGGUGGCGAAGGCGGCAUCCUGGACCGGUAUUGACGCUGAGGCGCGAAAGCCAGGGGAGCAAACGGG
rnacentral:rRNA from 1 species